CCUACGGGUGGCAGCAGUGAGGAAUAUUGGUCAAUGGGCGGAAGCCUGAACCAGCCAAGUAGCGUGCGGGAUGAAGGCCCUACGGGUCGUAAACCGCUUUUGCACGGGGAUAACACCCUCCCCUUGUGGAGGUCUGCAGGUACCGUGCGAAUAAGGGCCGGCUAAUUCCGUGCCAGCAGCCGCGGUAAUACGGAGGAUGCGAGCGUUAUCCGGAUUUAUUGGGUUUAAAGGGUGCGCAGGCGGCGGUGCAAGUCAGCGGUCAAAUUGCGGGGUUCAACCCCGUACUGCGGUGGAAACUGCAUGCCUUGAGUGCGCGAGAGGUAUGCGGAAUGCGUGGUGUAGCGGUGAAAUGCAUAGAUAUCACGCAGAACUCCGAUUGCGAAGGCAGCAUACCGGCGCUCAACUGACGCUCAUGCACGAAAGCGUGGGUAUCGAACAGGAUUAGAUACCCGGGUAGUC
rnacentral:rRNA from 1 species